AAAAGCUGCUGCCCGACCUGCGGAGAGAACAAAGCAGCCUAAAGUCAACAGCCAGCCCACAGAGUCCCCAUCCACCUCCAAGGUUAAUCUGAGUGAUUCCCCUGUGGAGCUAGAGGGUUGCGUGAAGAUGAGGGAAGACACCAAUGGAAUCCCAGCAGCUUACAUAUCCCGGCUGAAGGAGGACACUGAGUGAGGGCUGUUCACACUCGUGCAGCUCUACAAGGGUUAGGUUCAGGUACAUCACAUCUGUGACAUGUCCAGGUGGUACACAGUCAUAACUGAGGUCCUCAGCUGUGGACCGUGUACCAAUGCAGCCAGGAGCAGAGAAGGUGGCACAGUGGGUCAGCAGCAUGCAGGGGAAGCCACCAUUUUAUCACAAGUUAGCAAGGCUCACCAAGCCGUGUUCCCUGCCACCUUCACCAGCAAGUGUGGAGUGGAAAGGACUGCAUUUGGGCACACAUUCCAGGCCCCAUGCACCUCCUCCAAGGAAUCAAGGUUUUGCCGCUGAAUCUUGGGAAGAUCCAUCCUGAUCUGGACUCCGCUCCACCACCACCAUACAACCCAGCUGCUGCACCACAAGAGCCUUCCCCAGCAUCACAGCAGGAUGGAGCAGGGGCCAGCAGCAGGGGACCAGCAGAUGGCACUAGA